rnacentral:rRNA from 1 species
CCUACGGGAGGCAGCAGUGGGGAAUAUUGCACAAUGGGCGAAAGCCUGAUGCAGCGACGCCGCGUGAGGGAUGACGGCCUUCGGGUUGUAAACCUCUUUCAGCAGGGAAGAAGCGAAAGUGACGGUACCUGCAGAAGAAGCGCCGGCUAACUACGUGCCAGCAGCCGCGGUAAUACGUAGGGCGCAAGCGUUGUCCGGAAUUAUUGGGCGUAAAGAGCUCGUAGGCGGCUUGUCACGUCGGUUGUGAAAGCCCGGGGCUUAACCCCGGGUCUGCAGUCGAUACGGGCAGGCUAGAGUGUGGUAGGGGAGAUCGGAAUUCCUGGUGUAGCGGUGAAAUGCGCAGAUAUCAGGAGGAACACCGGUGGCGAAGGCGGAUCUCUGGGCCAUUACUGACGCUGAGGAGCGAAAGCGUGGGGAGCGAACAGGAUUAGAUACCCUGGUAGUCCACGCCGUAAACGGUGGGAACUAGGUGUUGGCGACAUUCCACGUCGUCGGUGCCGGCNGCUACGCAUAACGUUCCCGUCCGUCGGGUAGGUACGGCCGCGACGGACGUAAACCGUACGAAACGUAGUAAGUUAGUACGGUUCGUUGUAGACGUUGCCGACGGCGACGACGAGGGAGAGG